rnacentral:rRNA from 1 species
UACGGGGGGGGGCAAGCGUUGUCCGGAUUUAUUGGGCGUAAAGAGCGUGUAGGCGGCUUUACAGGUCCGUUGUGAAAACUCGAGGCUCAACCUCGAGACGUCGGUUGAAACCGUAAGGCUAGAGUCCGGAAGAGGAGAGUGGAAUUCCCGGUGUAGCGGUGAAAUGCGCAGAUAUCGGGAAGAACACCCGUGGCGAAGGCGGCUCUCUGGGACGGUACUGACGCUGAGACGCGAAAGCGUGGGGAGCGAACAGG